CUUGCAUACCUAUAAGAGGUCCAGCCUGCCCAGUGACUCUGUUCAACGGCCGCGGUAUCCUAACCGUGCGAAGGUAGCGUAAUCACUUGUUCUUUAAAUGAGGACUAGUAUGAAUGGCAUCACGAAGGUUAUACUGUCUCCUCUUUCCAAUCAGUGAAACUAAUCUCCCCGUGAAGAAGCGGGGAUAACUUUAUAAGACGAGAAGACCCUAUGGAGCUUUAAACUAAGAAUCAACUGACUUUUCCACUUUUAAAUUCCAGAAAACUAACUUUUACCAAGACACUCUGAUUUCUAGUUUUAGGUUGGGGUGACCACGGAGUAAAAACUAACCUCCGCAAUGAACAGGGAUCUUCCCUUAACCAAGGACCACAACCCUAAGAAUCAACACAUUGACAUCAAUUGACCCAAAAAAAUUUGAUCAAUGAAC
rnacentral:rRNA from 1 species